CCCUACGGGGGGCUGCAGUGGGGAAUAUUGGACAAUGGGCGCAAGCCUGAUCCAGCCAUGCCGCGUGAGUGAUGAAGGCCUUAGGGUUGUAAAGCUCUUUUGUCCGGGACGAUAAUGACGGUACCGGAAGAAUAAGCCCCGGCUAACUUCGUGCCAGCAGCCGCGGUAAUACGAAGGGGGCUAGCGUUGCUCGGAAUCACUGGGCGUAAAGGGCGCGUAGGCGGCCAUUCAAGUCGGGGGUGAAAGCCUGUGGCUCAACCACAGAAUUGCCUUCGAUACUGUUUGGCUUGAGUUUGGUAGAGGUUGGUGGAACUGCGAGUGUAGAGGUGAAAUUCGUAGAUAUUCGCAAGAACACCAGUGGCGAAGGCGGCCAACUGGACCAACACUGACGCUGAGGCGCGAAAGCGUGGGGAGCAAACAGGAUUAGAUACCCUUGUAGUC
rnacentral:rRNA from 1 species